AAAGACCCGAAAUUUGAAGAAAUGUCCAAAAAAGUGUUCCCUAAUCUGGAUGCACAAAAGUCUUUACUUUAAAUCUUCACAGUAAAUCCAAUCUUAUAUAAAAAAUUUCAUGAUUAAUAUAUAUAGAAGUUGGGUAUGAUUGUCAAUGAGACAACUCUCCACUAGAGACCAAACGACACAGAAAUUAACAACUAUAGGUCAUGUACAUCCUUCAACAAUGAGGGAAGUAUGUUCUAAAUUUGUUCACACAAUAUCAUCUGAAUAUGUGUUUUAUGAGAUAACUAAAGGG
rnacentral:lncRNA from 1 species